rnacentral:lncRNA from 1 species
CACGCACUCUCCCAUGCACCCCUCCGUGCACACUCUCCAUGCUUAUAUGCAUCUGUGGACAUGUGUGCAUAUUCUCUUGUCAGUACACACAUGCAUGCAUAGAGAUGAGCAGCAUGCACUCACAUACUGCAUUGUGCAUGCCUGCACACACACAUGCUCUCAUAGAUAACAGCUGGGCAUGCACACCCUCCAUGCUUAUAUAUGUGCAUGCAUUCAUUGAGACAUGCACAUAUUCACAUGUGAACAUAUACAUGAAUACAG